rnacentral:tRNA from 1 species
GGGUGAUUAGCUCAGUUGGUAGAGCGCUUCGUUUACACCGAAGAUGUCGGGAGUUCGAGUCUCUCAACGCCCACCA